CCCUUAGAGUUUGAUCCUGGCUCAGAUUGAACGCUGGCGGAAUGCUUUACACAUGCAAGUCGAGCGGCAUCGCGGGGUAACCUGGCGGCAAGCGGCGAACGGGUGAGUAAUAUAUCGGAACGUGUCCUGGAGUGGGGGAUAGCCCGGCGAAAGCCGGAUUAAUACCGCAUGUGAUCCUAGGAUGAAAGUGGGGGACCGAAAGGCCUCACGCUAGAGGAGCGGCCGAUAUCUGAUUAGCUAGUUGGUGGGGUAAAGGCCUACCAAGGCGAUGAUCAGUAGCUGGUCUGAGAGGAUGAUCAGCCACACUGGGACUGAGACACGGCCCAGACUCCUACGGGAGGCAGCAGUGGGGAAUUUUGGACAAUGGGCGAAAGCCUGAUCCAGCCAUUCCGCGUGAGUGAAGAAGGCCUUCGGGUUGUAAAGCUCUUUCGGCAGGAACGAAAUGGGUUGCGUGAAUAUCGCAGCCUGCUGACGGUACCUGAUGAAGAAGCACCGGCUAACUACGUGCCAGCAGCCGCGGUAAUACGUAGGGUGCGAGCGUUAAUCGGAAUUACUGGGCGUAAAGCGUGCGCAGGCGGUUUGUUAAGACAGGUGUGAAAUCCCCGGGCUUAACCUGGGAACUGCGCUUGUUACUGGCAAGCUGGAGUGUGUC
rnacentral:rRNA from 1 species